rfam:Chromobacterium aquaticum strain CC-SEYA-1 NODE_116_length_9727_cov_36.290119, whole genome shotgun sequence.
UAGCUCGUCGGGCUCAUAACCCGAAGGUCGUAGGUUCGAAUCCUGCCCCCGCAA